GCACUCAUUCUCCAAGCCCACAUGUGAUCCGAUUCAUCCAGUACACCAAGUGUCCAGGGACAUCUAGAUGAUAGAAGUUCCUUCAGAUGGGUCCCUGGUGUGAGGGUGUCCUGUAUCAGACUGCCUAUUGAAGUUCAACCUGUGGUUCAAGACAGGAUCUCAUUCAGAAUACUACUUUCAUUCAGGCUGGAGUGCAGUGGCAUGAUCUUAGCUCUCUGCAACUUCCGCCUCCUGGGCUCAAGCGAUUCUCCUGUCUCAGGCUCCGGAGUAGCUGGGACUACAGGCAUGCGCCACAACACCAGGGAAAAAAACAAACCAACCAACAAACUGAGCCUGAAACUGAUAACACAGAUACGUACAGCAUCAUAUUUAAGUAACCAAUCGGAAUUAUUGCAGUGGAGAUGUUUUAUUGGUGGGAAAUACGGUAUCACACCAUUUCAGACAUCAGGAGAUAAUUAUCCCUGUCUUCUCGGAACCAGCUUCUUCAAAGGAGUCAGGAAUUAUUUAUGAUAGAAACUACUGAAACAAUACUAAGGAGUUCAUAGGUUGCUGAGAAGGUAGCUUCCUGCCCUCUGCUUGAGGAACACGGAUGGAAGAAAGGAGAAGAUCUGGUCAACACAGCUCCUGAAAUGCUGAUUAAGCAUUAUGGGAUUUAAGGUUUCCUGGCCAAGUCUGAGCUAAAAUGUUAACACUCCUGAAGAACACCAUAAAGAAAGAAAAACAAAA
ensembl:lncRNA novel transcript